rnacentral:misc_RNA from 1 species
UACGGAGGGUGCAAACGUUGCUCGGAAUCAUUGGGCGUAAAGCGCGCGUAGGCGGCUUGGCAAGUUGGAUGUGAAAGCCCUGGGCUCAACCCAGGAUGUGCAUUCAAAACUGCCUGGCUUGAAUCUCGGAGGGGGACAGGGAAUUCCCGGUGUAGAGGUGAAAUUCGUAGAUAUCGGGAGGAACACCAGUGACGAAGGCGCUGUCCUGGACGAUGAUUGACGCUGAGGCGCGAAAGCGUGGGGAGCAAACAGG